GAUGAACGCUGGCGGCGUGCCUAAUACAUGCAAGUCGAGCGAAUGGAUUAAGAGCUUGCUCUUAUGAAGUUAGCGGCGGACGGGUGAGUAACACGUGGGUAACCUGCCCAUAAGACUGGGAGAACUCCGGGAAACCGGGGCUAAUACCGGAUAACAUUUUGAACCGCAUGGUUCGAAACUGAAAUGCGGCUUCGGCUGUCAGUUAUGGAUGGACCCGCGUCGCAUUAGCUAGUUGGUGAGGUAACGGCUCACCAAGGCAACGAUGCGUAGCCGACCUGAGAGGGUGAUCGGCCACACUGGGACUGAGACACGGCCCAGACUCCUACGGGAGGCAGCAGUAGGGAAUCUUCCGCAAUGGACGAAAGUCUGACGGAGCAACGCCGCGUGAGUGAUGAAGGCUUUCGGGUCGUAAAACUCUGUUGUUAGGGAAGAACAAGUGCUAGUUGAAUAAGCUGGCACCUUGACGGUACCUAACCAGAAAGCCACGGCUAACUACGUGCCAGCCGCCGCAGUAA
rnacentral:rRNA from 1 species